UGGGGAAUAUUGGACAAUGGGCGCAAGCCUGAUCCAGCAAUGCCGCGUGUGUGAAGAAGGCCUUCGGGUUGUAAAGCACUUUUAUCAGGAGCGAAACGCUGUCGGCUAAUACCCGGCGGAACUGACGGUACUUGAGGAAUAAGCACCGGCUAACUUCGUGCCAGCAGCCGCGGUAAUACGAAGGGUGCAAGCGUUAAUCGGAAUUACUGGGCGUAAAGCGUGCGUAGGCGGUUUCUUAAGUCUGCUGUGAAAUCCCCGGGCUCAACCUGGGAAUGGCAGUGGAUACUGGGAGGCUAGAGUGUGUCAGAGGGUGGUGGAAUUCCCGGUGUAGCGGUGAAAUGCGUAGAGAUCGGGAGGAACAUCAGUGGCGAAGGCGGCCACCUGGGACAACACUGACGCUGAGGCACGAAAGCGUGGGGAGCAAACAGGAUUAGAUACCCUGGUAGUCCACGCCCUAAACGAUGCGACUGGAUGUUGGUCUCAACUCGGAGAUCAGUGUCGAAGCUAACGCGUUAAGUUCGCCGCCUGGGGAGUACGGUCGCAAGACUGAAACUCAAAGGAAUUGACGGGG
rnacentral:rRNA from 1 species